rnacentral:lncRNA from 1 species
AAAACCACUAAUCUUACUAAUAUUAACAAUAAUUCUUGUGCUUAAUUUGUUUCAGGCUCUGCACUAGGCCCUCUCCUUGUCUUGGUUGAUUUAAUGCUGGCCCCAAGCUAUGAGGUCAGUAGAGGACUGCCCUCCUGUCCUGCAGACGUACAAGGCCAAAUCUUUGAAGUCCAGUGUGUAUUUCCCUCAGCACAUCUCCGUUCGGACUAGCCACACUCUCAGUCUUCCACAGCUGUAUGUGACCAGUGACUACUGCAGUGGGCAGAGCAAGGCUAGAAGGUAAGAGGGUAGGUUCUAUAGCCAGAGCAACACAGCAAG